UGGUUUAAAGAAGAUGAAAUAUGUCAGUGGACACCAGCCCAAGCAGCUUGGUUAAGAGAGUGACUUUGGCUAUCAGGAAUCUGGACUUAUAGAGGAGCUAUGUUGUUUUUGUACAAGCAACCUUGGUUAAGAGAGUGAAUUUUCCCCAGGAACUUAUAGAGGCCUCUGUUUUUACUUAUUGUUUAAACUUGUAAGAUACUGCAUUUUGUUACCAUCAAACUGCCUGGCUCAACUUUAUCAACAGUUUUUGUACCGGAAUAAUCCGAAGGAGCAAAUUACAAACGAAGCUGGUCUUUGGUUUCUUUGUCA
rnacentral:lncRNA from 1 species